AGUGAACGCUGGCGAUAGGCCUAACACAUGCAAGUCGAACGGCAGCACAGUAAGAGCUUGCUCUUACGGGUGGCGAGUGGCGGACGGGUGAGGAAUACAUCGGAAUCUACUUUUUCGUGGGGGAUAACGUAGGGAAACUUACGCUAAUACCGCAUACGACCUACGGGUGAAAGCAGGGGAUCUUCGGACCUUGCGCGAUUGAAUGAGCCGAUGUCGGAUUAGCUAGUUGGCGGGGUAAAGGCCCACCAAGGCGACGAUCCGUAGCUGGUCUGAGAGGAUGAUCAGCCACACUGGAACUGAGACACGGUCCAGACUCCUACGGGAGGCAGCAGUGGGGAAUAUUGGACAAUGGGCGCAAGCCUGAUCCAGCCAUACCGCGUGGGUGAAGAAGGCCUUCGGGUUGUAAAGCCCUUUUGUUGGGAAAGAAAAGCAGCAGGUUAAUACCCCGCUGUUCUGACGGUACCCAAAGAAUAAGCACCAGCUAACUUCGUG
rnacentral:rRNA from 1 species